AGACGGGUGAGUAACACGUAUCCAACCUUUCCCUUACUCGGGUAUAGCCUCGGGAAACUGAGAGUAAUCCCGAUGUUGUGUACGAAUAGCAUUUUUUGCACACUAAAGAUUUAUCGGUAAGGGGUGGGGAUGCGUUCCAUUAGGUAGUAGGCGGGGCAACGGCCACCUAGCCGAUGAUGGAUAGGGGUUCUGAGAGGAAGGUCCCCCACCAUUGGAACUGCGACACGGUCCAAACUCCUACGGGAGGCAGCAGUGAGGAAUAUUGGGUCAAUGGUCGGAAGACUGAACCAGCCAAGUAGCGUGCAAGGAUGACGGCCCUAUGGGUUGUAAAACUGCUUUUGUGCGGGAAUAACGUACGCCACGUGUGGUGUAGUGCAUGUACCGUACGAAUAAGGAUCGGCUAACUCCGUGCCAGCAGCGGC
rnacentral:rRNA from 1 species